rnacentral:lncRNA from 1 species
CCUGCCUUGAGCAAAUACCACGGCAAUGGUGAAUUAUGAACGAAUUAAAAUAAUAAUAUGCUUCACUGAGCGGAGGCUGAUACCACCGCAGAGGUCGAACCCUGAACAGUUGGCGUAAAUGAAAAUAAAUCAAAUAUAUAACCUACACGCUUGUUUUGUCCGAUAUGCUUUAUCUGUUACCAUAAAAGAAAUAUAUGUACUAAAUUAUCUGUUCUAUUAAAAUCGCUGUCCCGACUGAAUCGCACAUGUAUACGGUAUACCAUGAAGAAACUUCUGGCGUCUCUUUAAAUUAGUCAAUGUGAAUACACGUAAUGCAUUUAAUUAAAAUCCUGAUUAUAUAAAAAAAAAAGUCUAUUUCACUGCAUUUCACAGUACUAACAAUCGCUUGCUUUAUUACGGCGUUAUAUAUAAUGACUUUGGCCUUUCAGAUAUAUGAAUAUCGGGCAUAUUGUCAUUUAAAAAUUAGUUUUCAAAUUCGUAAUAAAAAAAAAAAACAA